UGCAUUCACUACUGUAAGUCGCUCUGGAUAAGAGCGUCUACUAAAUGACUAAAU
rfam:Salmo salar isolate Sally breed double haploid chromosome ssa15, whole genome shotgun sequence.